AGUCUAUUCAGAGGAACCUGUCCUGUAAUUGAUAAUCCACGAUGAACCUAACUUAAAUUUGUUUUUCAGUUUAUAUACCGUCGUUAUCAGAAUAUUUUAUAAGAAUAAUAAUUUUCUAUAAUUUUAAUAGGAAAGUAUAUCAGAUCAAGGUGUAGCUUAUAUUUGAGUAGAGAUGGGUUACAAUAAAUAUAUUUAAACGGAUCUAAUUUUGAAAUAUUUUUAGUGAAGGUGGAUUUGAUAGUAAAAUUUUAAAGAUUGUGAAUUUGAUUUUAGCUCUAGAAUAUGCACACAUCGCCCGUCGCUCUUACUAUUAAGGUAAGAUAAGUCGUAACAUAGUAGAUGUACCGGAAGGUGUAUCUAGAAUGA
rnacentral:rRNA from 1 species